rnacentral:rRNA from 1 species
GACGAACGCUGGCGGCGUGCUUAAUACAUGCAAGUCGAGCGAGGUCCAUCUGGUGGCAACACCAGUGAAGGCCGAGCGGCGAACGGGUGAGUAACACGUGAGCAACCUGCCCCGAAGUCUGGAAUAACAUCGGGAAACCGGUGCUAAUACCGGAUCGCCCCACCUGACCGCAUGAUCGGGUGAGGAAAGAUUUAUCGCUUCGGGAGGGGCUCGCGGCCUAUCAGCAGUUGGUGGGUAACGGCCUACCAAGGCGUCGACGGGUAGCUGGUCUGAGAGGACGACCAGCCACACUGGGACUGAGACACGGCCCAGACUCCUACGGGAGGCAGCAGUAGGGAAUCUUGCGCAAUGGGCGAAAGCCUGACGCAGCAACGCCGCGUGGGGGAGUGACGGCCUCGGUU